CGCGGGUAUGGCGGAAUUGGUAGACGCGGGCGACUCAAAAUCGCCAGCCGAAAGGCGUGGGGGUUCGAUCCCUCUACCCGCACC
rnacentral:tRNA from 1 species